UUUGCAACCACCUAGAAGAACACAAGGUACUGGGUAGUAAUCAUCGUGAUUUUUUUGAAGUGCAAAUUAUACCAGGCAAACUUAAUUUUAUCUCUGAUGGAGUGAUGAGCCUGGAAGUGGAAGGAAAGCCAUACCUGCAAUUGCGUUCCAGUAAGCAGAAUGAAGAGACUGUCCAAGGAGAAGGCAGCAAGUGAUCUCCCUAACCCAGGACAGAAGAGCAGAGUAUGCAGAGCAGGGGGAUGAAACGCUCCGAAGAGGAAGACUCCGGGGCAAAAAGAGGCCUCAUGCAGUUUGUAGUCUAAUGAAGAGAACAACAGCUACCAACACUGGUUCAGUGUGAGAUAAAGUGCCUAUCCAGUAGAAAAAGGGGAACCAGUGGGCUGGGGACACAGUUCCAUGUCAGAGCACUGGCCUAAGAUGGACAAGGGCCUCGGCUGCAUCCCCA
rnacentral:lncRNA from 1 species